rnacentral:lncRNA from 1 species
GUGGCUCAGUGGCAGCCCACUUGCUGAGAGAACUGGAGGCCUGGGUUCGAACCCUCGAUCUCCCAAAUAAAAUCACAGCCUGAGGCGACAGAAGCCAAGAACUGCUUCAGAAGCCCAGGCACAAGCACCCACCACCCCAGCUUCAGCCUCUGGCGCGAGCACCCUGAACCCCCGGAAAGCUAAGGCAGCAGCACAGGCCGUACCGGGACCCUGCACACGCAGCUUCUUGGCUUCGGGCUCCAGCUCCUGAGGACCUCUGCGACUUUUGCUCCUGAGGAGCACCGCAACGUCGGGGGACUUCUGGGUUUCUGGGCAUUUCUUGGGAGCCAUGACGUACUCGGUGAAGAGAUAUCAAGCUCUGUGGCAAAAUAACGAAGCAAGGAGUGGAAAAGCCUCCGUGGAGAAAACAGGAAGGGACUACGUAUGAGGCAGCGCCGUCGCAGGAGCUGGGCCUUGGCUUGUGCUGGAUCUGAAGAAAGCCGAUUAUUUGAACCUGAGGAGGGAGCGCUGGCCGUAAACCCUGCAUGCUGGAGGCGGAGCCAGGCGGCGUUUCAGGCCAGCCUGGUGUACACGUUCCAGCAAUCCGGUGACCUACGCAGAGAAACCCUGUCUCGAAGAACAACAAAGAGAGAGAGAGAGAGACAGAGACAGAUAAAAGUAGGUAGUUUAUGUCUUAAAAAGAGCAAAGAUUCAAGUGUGGCUAAAUAUUUCUCAUUUCCCCCAUUAAUAAUAGGUGUCUCUAGGGCUGGAGAGAUGGCUCAGUGGUUAAGAGCACUGACUGCUCUUCCAGAGGUCCUGAGUUCAAUUCCCAGCAACCACAAGGUGGCUCACAACCAUCUGUAUUGGGAUCUGAUGCCCUCUUCUGGUGUUUCUGAAAUGACAGUGUAUUAAAUAAAUAAAUC